GUCGUCGCCGUUCACAUUGCAGUCCUGCCGCUGUGCCCUAGCUGCCCGCUGCUCAGUCCGACUGAGCUCCGAUGGUGAAGCGGUACUGUGAUACAUCACACCCUGCAGGAACUAUUUGAUAUAGUUUGGCGACAGCUCUGCCUGGAUGGAAGAGGGCGACAAAAGAGUUUUGCGCCGGAGACGAGCAGUUGCUGGCCAAGUGCAACGUAGUAUGCUCCUAGUUUCCAAGCGUGAAGCAGCUCGAGUUGCACUCGACGGGCCUGACCUUGGAAGUGACACUGGACGAACUGAAGGGGAUGCUUCCUGAAGGCAAGGGGGCACUCACGAUGGAUUCUCGACCACGAGCUCGCUGGUACGAGUACCGCUCCCGCCUCUCGUGGUCAAAUCUAGAGCCGGAAGGGCCGGUGAAUAUGCGUAUUAUCGACGUCGUCGAUGAGGAAACAAAAGAGGAGGAUUUAGACGACGAGGAAGACGAUACUGACAAGGAGGAUGAGGAAGAUGAUUCCAACGAGCAGGAGGAGGAAGAGGAUUCUGACGAGGAUUAGGAGCACGAGUAGGUAGAAGAUUCUGACGAGGAGCGGGAGGAGGAUUUUGAUGAGGAGAACUCUGCACUUCAAAUGAAUUUUAUGUAAACACUAUUUAUUUUCGGUAUCAACAUUUGUUAUUUACGUGCGAUAUUGGCAUGUAUGAUAGAUGUGUACGGAUUUGAGAGUCCGGAUUUAAGAUAUGUAAAUGCCGGAAGCAAGAUACGAGGGUCCGCCCGAAUGCAUCCUCGGACGUGCCCGAUGCAUCCGCGGACGUAUAGGAUGUAAAUUUGCCAAAUCCGGUUGUAAAUGCUGUUAUCCAGUCGUUGUGCUAACUCGGGGGCAGCG